AUUCCAGCUCCAAUAGCGUAUAUUAAAGUUGUUGCAGUUAAAACGCUCGUAGUCGGACGUUGGCGGGCGCCUCGAGUCGGCCUCACGGUCGAUCUUGUUGGCGACCGCCUUUGUGGAGGGGGGCUUAGGUCGGUGCUUUAUUGUCAUCCCUUUGUCGCUGCCACCGUUUACUGUGAAAAAAUUAGAGUGUUCAAAGCGGGCGUUUGCCAUGAAUACAUUAGCAUGGAAUAAUAGAAUAGGACCUGGUCCUGUUUUGUUGGUUUGUGAGUAUCAGGUAAUGAUUAAGAGGGACGGUUGGGGGCAUUUGUAUUCCGGCGUCAGAGGUGAAAUUCUUGGAUUGCCGGAAGACAAACAGCUGCGAAAGCGUCUGCCAAGGACGUUUUCAUUG
rnacentral:rRNA from 1 species